GGGUGAAAGGCCAAUCAAACCGGGAGAUAGCUGGUUCUCCCCGAAAGCUAUUUAGGUAGCGCCUCGUGAACUCAUCUCCGGGGGUAGAGCACUGUUUCGGCAAGGGGGUCAUCCCGACUUACCAACCCGAUGCAAACUGCGAAUACCGGAGAAUGUUAUCACGGGAGACACACGGCGGGUGCUAACGUCCGUCGUGAAGAGGGAAACAACCCAGACCGCCAGCUAAGGUCCCAAAGUCAUGGUUAAGUGGGAAACGAUGUGGGAAGGCCCAGACAGCCAGGAUGUUGGCUUAGAAGCAGCCAUCAUUUAAAGAAAGCGUAAUAGCUCACUGGUCGAGUCGGCCUGCGCGGAAGAUGUAACGGGGCUAAACCAUGCACCGAAGCUGCGGCAGCGACGCUUAUGCGUUGUUGGGUAGGGGAGCGUUCUGUAAGCCUGUGAAGGUGUGCUGUGAGGCAUGCUGGAGGUAUCAGAAGUGCGAAUGCUGACAUAAGUAACGAUAAAGCGGGUGAAAAGCCCGCUCGCCGGAAGACCAAGGGUUCCUGUCCAACGUUAAUCGGGGCAGGGUGAGUCGACCCCUAAGGCGAGGCCGAAAGGCGUAGUCGAUGGGAAACAGGUUAAUAUUCCUGUACUUGGUGUUACUGCGAAGGGGGGACGGAGAAGGCUAUGUUGGCCGGGCGACGGUUGUCCCGGUUUAAGCGUGUAGGCUGGUUUUCCAGGCAAAUCCGGAAAAUCAAGGCUGAGGCGUGAUGACGAGGCACUACGGUGCUGAAGCAACAAAUGCCCUGCUUCCAGGAAAAGCCUCUAAGCAUCAGGUAACAUCAAAUCGUACCCCAAACCGACACAGGUGGUCAGGUAGAGAAUACCAAGGCGCUUGAGAGAACUCGGGUGAAGGAACUAGGCAAAAUGGUGCCGUAACUUCGGGAGAAGGCACGCUGAUAUGUAGGUGAAGUCCCUCGCGGAUGGAGCUGAAAUCAGUCGAAGAUACCAGCUGGCUGCAACUGUUUAUUAAAAACACAGCACUGUGCAAACACGAAAGUGGACGUAUACGGUGUGACGCCUGCCCGGUGCCGGAAGGUUAAUUGAUGGGGUCAGCGCAAGCGAAGCUCUUGAUCGAAGCCCCGGUAAACGGCGGCCGUAACUAUAACGGUCCUAAGGUAGCGAAAUUCCUUGUCGGGUAAGUUCCGACCUGCACGAAUGGCGUAAUGAUGGCCAGGCUGUCUCCACCCGAGACUCAGUGAAAUUGAACUCGCUGUGAAGAUGCAGUGUACCCGCGGCAAGACGGAAAGACCCCGUGAACCUUUACUAUAGCUUGACACUGAACAUUGAGCCUUGAUGUGUAGGAUAGGUGGGAGGCUUAGAAGUGUGGACGCCAGUCUGCAUGGAGCCGACCUUGAAAUACCACCCUUUAAUGUUUGAUGUUCUAACGUUGACCCGUAAUCCGGGUUGCGGACAGUGUCUGGUGGGUAGUUUGACUGGGGCGGUCUCCUCCUAAAGAGUAACGGAGGAGCACGAAGGUUGGCUAAUCCUGGUCGGACAUCAGGAGGUUAGUGCAAUGGCAUAAGCCAGCUUGACUGCGAGCGUGACGGCGCGAGCAGGUGCGAAAGCAGGUCAUAGUGAUCCGGUGGUUCUGAAUGGAAGGGCCAUCGCUCAACGGAUAAAAGGUACUCCGGGGAUAACAGGCUGAUACCGCCCAAGAGUUCAUAUCGACGGCGGUGUUUGGCACCUCGAUGUCGGCUCAUCACAUCCUGGGGCUGAAGUAGGUCCCAAGGGUAUGGCUGUUCGCCAUUUAAAGUGGUACGCGAGCUGGGUUUAGAACGUCGUGAGACAGUUCGGUCCCUAUCUGCCGUGGGCGCUGGAGAACUGAGGGGGGCUGCUCCUAGUACGAGAGGACCGGAGUGGACGCAUCACUGGUGUUCGGGUUGUCAUGCCAAUGGCACUGCCCGGUAGCUAAAUGCGGAAGAGAUAAGUGCUGAAAGCAUCUAAGCACGAAACUUGCC
rnacentral:rRNA from 1 species